rnacentral:rRNA from 1 species
GAUGAACGCUGGCGGCGUGCCUAACACAUGCAAGUCGAGCGGCAGCGAGGGGUGCUUGCACCCUGUCGGCGAGCGGCGGACGGCUGAGUAACGCGUGGGAACGUGCCCCAAAGUGAGGAAUAACUGCCCGAAAGGGUAGCUAAUACCGCAUAUUAUCUUCGGAUCAAAGGAUUUAUCCGCUUUGGGAGCGGCUCGCGUCGGAUUAGGUAGUUGGUGAGGUAAUGGCUCACCAAGCCGACGAUCCGUAGCUGGUCUAAGAGGAUGACCAGCCAGACUGGAACUGAGACACGGUCCAGACUCCUACGGGAGGCAGCAGUGAGGAAUCUUCCACAAUGGGCGAAAGCCUGAUGGAGCAACGCCGCGUGCAGGACGAAGGCCUUCGGGUUGUAAACUGCUUUUAUAAGUGAGGAAUAUGACGGUAACUUAUGAAUAAGGAUCGGCUAACUACGUG